rnacentral:rRNA from 1 species
AUUGAACGCUGGCGGCAGGCCUAACACAUGCAAGUCGAGCGGAUGAAGGGAGCUUGCUCCUGGAUUCAGCGGCGGACGGGUGAGUAAUGCCUAGGAAUCUGCCUGGUAGUGGGGGAUAACGUCCGGAGACGGGCGCUAAUACCGCAUACGUCCUGAGGGAGAAAGUGGGGGAUCUUCGGACCUCACGCUAUCAGAUGAGCCUAGGUCGGAUUAGCUAGUUGGUGGGGUAAAGGCCUACCAAGGCGACGAUCCGUAACUGGUCUGAGAGGAUGAUCAGUCACACUGGAACUGAGACACGGUCCAGACUCCUACGGGAGGCAGCAGUGGGGAAUAUUGGACAAAGGGCGAAAGCCUGAUCCAGCCAUGCCGCGUGUGUGAAGAAGGUCUUCGGAUUGUAAAGCACUUUAAGUUGGGAGGAAGGGCAGUAAGUUAAUACCUUGCUGUUUUGACGUUACCAACAGAAUAAGCACCGGCUAACUUCGUG